rnacentral:rRNA from 1 species
UACGUAGGGUGCAAGCGUUUGUCCGGAAUUAUUGGGCGUAAAGAGCUCGUAGGCGGUCUGUCGCGUCUGCUGUGAAAACCUAGGGCUUAACUCUGGGCGUGCAGUGGGUACGGGCAGGCUAGAGUGCGGUAGGGGAGACUGGAAUUCCUGGUGUAGCGGUGAAAUGCGCAGAGUAUCAGGAGGAACACCGGUGGCGAAGGCGGGUCUCUGGGCCGUAACUGACGCUGAGGAGCGAAAGCAUGGGGAGCGAACAGG